GGAGCCGUGGCGCAGAGGUCGUCGCGCCCGCUUGUCAGGCGGGAGGACGCCGGUUCGAAUCCGGCCGGCUCCG
rnacentral:tRNA from 1 species